UUUUAUGGAGAGUUUGAUCCUGGCUCAGGACGAACGCUGGCGGCGUGCCUAAUACAUGCAAGUCGAGCGAAUGACGAGAAGCUUGCUUCUCUGAUUUAGCGGCGGACGGGUGAGUAACACGUGGGCA
rnacentral:rRNA from 1 species